UGGGGAAUAUUGCACAAUGGAGGGAACUCUGAUGCAGCGACGCCGCGUGAGUGAUGAAGGAAUUCGUUUCGUAAAACUCUUUUCUAUGGGAAGAAAAGGACUGUACCAUAGGAGAAAGCUCCGGCUAAAUACGUGCCAGCAGGCGCGGUAAUACGUAUGGAGCGAGCGUUGUCCGGAAUUAUUGGGCGUAAAGGGUGCGCAGGCGGCUUUACAAGUUGGAUGUGAAAUAUUGUGGCUCAACCACAAACGUGCAUCCAAAACUGCAAAGCUUGAGUUAAGGAGAGGUAAGUGGAAUUCCUGGUGUAGCGGUAGAAUGCGUAGAUAUCAGGAGGAAUACCGGUGGCGAAGGCGACUUACUGGACUUAAACUGACGAUCAGGCACGAAAGCGUGGGGAGCAAACAGG
rnacentral:rRNA from 1 species